CGGACCCUUAACUGCACCCUGCCUGAGUGAGUCUGACUGUUUCUAUUGAGUACCAGGGGUUUUACAACAUGGUAAUGAGCAGCGCUGGCCUCCUCUGUCCACUCUGCUUCUAUAGCUGUUGCUGAGAGACAAAGUAGAAGUCACCCAGGCGUUCAGAGAGAGUGAGGAAGAGGCCUUUAAAACGACCACACCGCCAUAACUCAUAGUGUGUCUGCAAGACAAGGGGAGGGGGGUGCCAGUGGAGGGACGUGUGUACAAGGCACAGAGGGUUUUAAGGUAAGGAAGAUGAACUGAAAGGAAGGCAACAUUUUCAACUUAUACAGGAACUCUGAGGAUGAGGGGAGAGUCUUGUGGCAAUGAAAGGAAAGAAGACGAGAAGAAUCCGGACAUUUAAUGCACUGAUGGUCCAUCAGUUUCUGUGGUGAAAAGACAGAGAGUAUUUUCCUUCAGGAGGAUAGGAUGCACUUUACAAGAUGACAGGUUCACUUGCGUCACAGAAACAGAGCCUGUGGAUUCUUUGUGUGGUUGUCAUCACUGCAGCUGGAGAGGACUCUCCUUGUCCAACAGGUGGACAGAUCCACCUGGGCAGCUGGCGAUGCUAUUGGCUCUCUGAGAGGACAUCCUCAUGGACUGAGGCACAGGAUUCUUGCAGACAGAUUCAGGGAGGAGAUCUGGCAUCUGCUGAUAGCCUGGAGCUGCAAAACUUCAUCCACUUCUCCUUUCCAGUGUGAGUGUCACAAACAACAUUUAAAAAUGUCUCCUGUCAUGUAUUAUAUGUAUGCUUAGAUCCAUUAAUAUGCCCUUCCCCUUUGUGUUCAUGUUGGUGUAGAAAAACCACUGUGUGGGUAUGGCUGAAGGGCUCAGGGGGAGAAGGGUCUGACCAGUUUGGGGUCAUGGAGCCAGUAAGUCCUGCAUUGUGGGCCAGAGGCAGCGAGAGUCAGGGGGGGUGCACUCAGAUGGCUUUGGGGACAAAGGGACGGUGGAGGAAGAGUCAAUGUGCUGGACGAAACCUCUUCCUCUGUGAAAAAGAAGUAACUGAGUCUUUACCAUCUGUGGACAGUUACCUGACUGGAUUGGUUCUCAUGACCGGCAUCUACGCUCAGAUUCAGAUACAGCCCAUUCCCAAUGUCCCAGACAUUGGACAAAGCACAGUGGAGGUCAGUACACUGCCAAUCUAAAACACAACCUGAAGC
rnacentral:lncRNA from 1 species